UGGGGAAUAUUGCACAAUGGAGGGAACUCUGAUGCAGCGACGCCGCGUGAACGAAGAAGGCUUUCGAGUCGUAAAGUUCUUUUAUAUGGGAAGAUAAUGACGGUACCAUAAGAAAAAGCCCCGGCUAACUACGUGCCAGCAGCCGCGGUAAUACGUAGGGGGCUAGCGUUGUCCGGAUUCAUUGGGCGUAAAGCGCGCGUAGGCGGUUUGUUAGGUCAGGAGUUAAAUCUGGGGGCUCAACCCCUAUCCGCUCCUGAUACCGGCAGGCUUGAGUCUGGUAGGGGAAGGUGGAAUUCCUAGUGUAGCGGUGGAAUGCGCAGAUAUUAGGAAGAACACCGGUGGCGAAGGCGGCCUUCUGGGCCAUAACUGACGCUGAGGAGCGAAAGCUAGGGGAGCGAACAGG
rnacentral:rRNA from 1 species